GGGGAAGAGCCGUAGCUCAAUGGUAGAGCAUCUGCCUUACACGCAGAUGGUCUCAGGUUCAAUCCCUGGCUUCUCCA